ACGAACGCUGGCGGCGUGCUUAACACAUGCAAGUCGAACGGUGAAGCUCCAGCUUGCUGGAGUGGAUCAGUGGCGAACGGGUGAGUAACACGUGAGCAACCUGCCCCUGACUCUGGAAUAAGCGCUGGAAACGGCGUCUAAUACUGGAUACGAGAAGGGUCCGCAUGGGCACUUUCUGGAAAGUUUUUCGGUUGGGGAUGGGCUCUCGGCCUAUCAGCUUGUUGGUGAGGUAAUGGCUCACCAAGGCGACGACGGGUAGCCGGCCUGAGAGGGCGACCGGCCACACUGGGACUGAGACACGGCCCAGACUCCUACGGGAGGCAGCAGUGGGGAAUAUUGCACAAUGGGCGAAAGCCUGAUGCAGCGACGCCGCGUGAGGGAUGACGGCCUUCGGGUUGUAAACCUCUUUCAGCAGGGAAGAAGCGAAAGUGACGGUACCUGCAGAAGAAGCACCGGCUAACUACGUG
rnacentral:rRNA from 1 species